GAGCCUAUAGCUUUAAGGAUUAGAGCAUGUGACUACGAAUCAUGCUGUCGGGAGUUCAAAUCCCUCCUCGCUCA
rfam:Gossypium raimondii Chr05_contig_133, whole genome shotgun sequence.